UACGUAGGUGACAAGCGUUGUCCGGAUUUACUGGGCGUAAAGAGCGCGCAGGCGGUCGUUCAAGUCGAGUGUGAAAGCCCCCGGCUCAACUGGGGAGGUAUUCGAUACUGAUCGACUCGAAGGCAGGAGAGGGAAGUGGAAUUCCCGGUGUAGCGGUGAAAUGCGCAGAUAUCUGGAGGAACACCGGUGGCGAAGGCGGCAUCCUGGACCGGCAUUGACGCUGAGGCGCGAAAGCCAGGGGAGCAAACAGG
rnacentral:rRNA from 1 species